GACACAUCCAUCUGAUUCUUUGGCUGGCCGGUGAAUAUUCGGACCGAGUUUAAUAACAAACCAAUCAAAAACGAAAGAAAACCCUAAUUUGAAGUACGUGCGACCACCAUGCAAGAAAACGUUGUAUUUAAGAAACGGAUCAUCAAGCUCCUCAAACCCUAAAACCUACGCGUCUUCUUCAAACGAAAAUGGCAAAGCGGCUGUUAUCUCAACCCUCUGGAUUUGGGGAGACGUCAAAACACGUGGCUCUAGAGGCUGAAGAUGCGGUGAUGGCCUCUGAGAAAGUUUGUAUCGUUUGCUGUGUAUUAAGGCAGCCGAGGGGUACUUUUUAUUCAGUAUACGUUUUCAAUCUGAAUUGUAAACCUAAUCCAAUCAGUAUACCGACGCUGAAUCCAGUUCUUCAAUUGCAAAUUCCUUGUUAUCCUUUAGUACGGCCUUCGCUUUUUGCGGAUCGAUCUUAUAUAUGUUCGGCGGUCGGUACAUCAUCCCGGAUCUGAGUAAUAUAAAAAGACGGGGCAAAGAGGGGGAUUGGGAAUCCACUGUGUUAGGCUAUGAUUUUUCACGGGGGAUGCUGCUGGGCGAAUUAUCUGAGAUGAAGGCUUCGAAAGUCCGCCCUUCUGUGGUUAUCUUUGACGGUAAGGUUUGUGUUUUCUCCCAAAUGCUUUAUCGAAGUGGUUUUUAUGUCGGACGUCCAAGUUUUGAGCUGUUUGAUCCAACUGAAAAUAGCUGGACCGAACUUCCUGAACCUAUGGAAUACUCUGAAUAUUCCCCUAUGAUUACAAUAGACUCCUAUUGUGUAGGAGGUUCCAGGCUUUUUAUCUCAAACUAGCAAUCAAAAACAGAUACUGUGUCUGGAUAUCAAUCGCCCUACCGGAUGGACUUCAUACUUGUUGACGAAGUGUGUUUCUCUCCAUUUCGUGCAUAUCUGUUAUCUCCUGUGAAAUUUGAUUGCCCAUUUCCCCUAUACUUUUUAAAACCUAAAUUAGAGCCUGAUGAUGAUGAUAUCGGGUAUACGGAUAGCGUUGCGCAUACACAAAUGCCAUAUCGCCCAUAUCACGUAGCUGGACGUGGUUCCAUAUCUUGUGUAGGGGAAAGGACACCUUGCACCAUUAAAGCCGGGUUCAUUUAUCCUGAACGUCCUGACCCGUGUAUUCAUGUGGAGACCUUUAAGUUUAGUUCUUCCCCAAGAGAAAUGUCUAAAUCUCGUGUUUUAGACUUUAGUUUUUUGAAUUAUAUUAUAAAUAAGAAGUUUCGACCUAAACCGGUCGAACAAUAUUCUGAUUUACUGGAGUUUGAUUUAUUGAAGUCUCUCAAAUAUUUGUUGGGUGGCAAUCCUUGCGAGGCUGUGAUGAUUUGUGGGUGUUUUCCUGUGUGAUGCAAGCCACUCUUACCUUUCUCUGUUCUGUUCAGGGUAGCUGAAUGUAAGGAGCCUGUUAAGUUUUUCUGUCAGAGACUUUACUGAUAUCAUUGAUUCAAAAAGUCCAAGCCCUCUGUCUUAAGAUCAAGAACUGCAAAGAAUUGCAGGAUUUUAGCUUCAACUUCACCAAGACAAAGUGAACAGGGUUUCAAAGAAUCUUAGUUUGCAGACACAAUGUUCAAAGGAUUUCAUUCACAAGUAAUAAAUUUACAGAUGGUUAAAUUAGAUGUCGUCAAUUUGAUUUAAUGUAGAUAAAGUAGAUGCAAUAGUAUCAGCAGAGCAGCAUAGUCUGUUCUGUUUUUGAGCUGCCAUAUACUGAUACAAAAAAAAAUAUCAGGUCAAGCAUCCAAUUCUCGAUCGUCAUUGUUCGACAAAA